rnacentral:rRNA from 1 species
UACGUAGGGUGCGAGCGUUGUCCGGAAUUAUUGGGCGUAAAGGGCUCGUAGGCGGUUUGUCGCGUCGGGAGUGAAAACACUGGGCUUAACUCAGUGCUUGCUUCCGAUACGGGCAGACUAGAGGUAUUCAGGGGAGAACGGAAUUCCUGGUGUAGCGGUGGAAUGCGCAGAUAUCAGGAGGAACACCGGUGGCGAAGGCGGGUCUCUGGGCAGUAACUGACGCUGAGGAGCGAAAGCGUGGGGAGCGAACAGG